ACUCCUACGGGAGGCAGCAGUGAGGAAUAUUGGUCAAUGGACGCAAGUCUGAACCAGCCAUGCCGCGUGCAGGAAGAAUGCCCUAUGGGGUUGUAAACUGCUUUUUAUUUGGGAAGAAACCUCUUUACGUGUAGAGAGCUGACGGUACCAAACGAAUAAGCACCGGCUAACUCCGUGCCAGCAGCCGCGGUAAUACGGAGGGUGCAAGCGUUAUCCGGAAUCAUUGGGUUUAAAGGGUCCGCAGGCGGGCUUAUAAGUCAGUGGUGAAAUCUCUCGGCUCAACCGAGAAACUGCCAUUGAUACUGUAGGUCUUGAAUUCGGUCGAAGUGGGCGGAAUGAGUAGUGUAGCGGUGAAAUGCAUAGAUAUUACUCAGAACACCGAUAGCGAAGGCAGCUCACUAGGCCUGGAUUGACGCUGAGGGACGAAAGCGUGGGAGCGAACAGGAUUAGAUACCCCUGGUAGCGACUGA
rnacentral:rRNA from 1 species